GAUGAACGCUGGCGGCGUGCCUAAUACAUGCAAGUCGAGCGAACGGACGAGAAGCUUGCUUCUCUGAUGUUAGCGGCGGACGGGUGAGUAACACGUGGAUAACCUACCUAUAAGACUGGGAUAACUUCGGGAAACCGGAGCUAAUACCGGAUGAUAUUUUGAACCGCAUGGUUCAAAAGUGAAAGACGGUCUUGCUGUCACUUAUAGAUGGAUCCGCGCUGCAUUAGCUAGUUGGUAAGGUAACGGCUUACCAAGGCAACGAUGCAUAGCCGACCUGAGAGGGUGAUCGGCCACACUGGAACUGAGACACGGUCCAGACUCCUACGGGAGGCAGCAGUAGGGAAUCUUCCGCAAAGGGCGAAAGCCUGACGGAGCAACGCCGCGUGAGUGAUAAAGGUCUUCGGAUCGUAAAACUCUGUUACUAGGGAAGAACAUAUGUGUAAGUAACUGUGCACAUCUUGACGGUACCUAAUCAGAAAGCCACGGCUAACUACGUG
rnacentral:rRNA from 1 species